UUCCAGACUCCUACGGGAGGCAGCAGUGGGGAAUAUUGCACAAUGGGGGAAACCCUGAUGCAGCGACGCCGCGUGAGCGAUGAAGUAUUUCGGUAUGUAAAGCUCUAUCAGCAGGGAAGAAGAUGACGGUACCUGACUAAGAAGCCCCGGCUAACUACGUGCCAGCAGCCGCGGUAAUACGUAGGGGGCAAGCGUUAUCCGGAUUUACUGGGUGUAAAGGGAGCGUAGACGGCGAUGCAAGCCAGAUGUGAAAGCCCGGGGCUCAACCCCGGGACUGCAUUUGGAACUGUGUGGCUGGAGUGUCGGAGAGGCAGGCGGAAUUCCUAGUGUAGCGGUGAAAUGCGUAGAUAUUAGGAGGAACACCAGUGGCGAAGGCGGCCUACUGGACGGUGACUGACGCUGAGGCUCGAAAGUGUGGGGAGCAAACAGGAUUAGAUACCCCUGUA
rnacentral:rRNA from 1 species